rnacentral:lncRNA from 1 species
CACCAGGCCCCACCUCCAACAUUGGGGAUUGCAUUUCAACAUGAGAUUUGGGCAGGGACACAGUUCCAAACCACAUCACCCCUUUUGCCAUGUGAAGAUGCAGCAAGAAGACCCUCACCAGACUCCAUGCCAGUGCCUUGACCUAGGGCUUCCCAACCUCCAGAACUGUGAGAAAUAAAUUUUUGUUUUUAUAAAUUACCCAGUCUUAGGUAUUUUGUUCUAUCAAACAAAUAGACUAAUACACAUGGCAAAAGAAUGUAAACAGGCAGACAUGGUUCAUUGGGAGCCAUUAUGAUAACAACUAACCACACCAUCUCUCUCCCAGGUCACUGCAGCAGCCUCAAACUGUGGAGGCUGUGCAUGUUUCAAAGCCAUUUCCCACAUUGCUGGCAGGAUGAUCUUCCUGAAGCACAAAUCUGACCUACUGCCAUUUGCCAAAACAAUAUCCUUUGAAUAGCAAAUGAUUAGCUAUAAUUGUAGCUCCAUCUACCUUUCACUGACAGUAUUUUGUUGCCAUGCAGAAGGAAGUAAAUAGAUACAUGCAUCCACAGGUUAGCUCAGGUGAUGACCUACAAGGAUGCUUGACUCAUCCAUGGAUGGCACAGAGACACCCUCCACAGAGUGUGGCGUCAGCAGCCUGCAAUUGACUUCCAACUUGGCCACCUCCUCGUUUUGACUGUGAACUGAAAUCUUACAAAAGAAGGGAUGGCAAAGGAAAAACUAAACAGAAGGAAGAUUUAGAAACAAAAGACAGGUGGUUUGGAAAAAGUGAAACUUAUAAAAAGAGUAGUCAAGCAGAGGAAUAAAACCAAGAUCUUUGCUUCCUUCAGUUCUCUUUUGGUAACUAAGACUUAAAAUAUGAAGUCUUGAAAAUUAGGGGGAAUGUG